GAUGAACGCUGGCGGCGUGCCUAAUACAUGCAAGUCGAGCGAAGCGGGGAAGGGUGAGGAACACGUGGAAAACCUCGUAUCAGACUGGGAUAACUUCGGGAAAACGGAGCUAAAAAGGAAAAUUGUAGAUGGAUCGGGUCUGAAUUAGCUAGUUGGUAAGGUAACGGCUUACAAAUGCAACGAUGCAUAGCCGACCGGAGAGGUGGAUCGGCCACACUGUAACUGAGACCCGGUCCAGACUCCUACGGGAGGCAGCAGUAGGUAAUCUUCCGCAAUGGGCGAAAGCCUGACGGAGCAACUCCGCGUGAGUGAUGAAGGUCUUCGGAUCGUAAAACUCUGUUAUUAGGGAAGCGGUACCUAAUCAGAAAGCCACGGCUAACUACGUGCCAGCAGCCGCGGUAAUUC
rnacentral:rRNA from 1 species